UACAGGGGGUGCAAACGUUGCUCGGAAUUAUUGGGCGUAAAGCGCGCGUAGGCGGCUAUUUAAGUCGGAUGUGAAAGCCCUUGGCUCAACUGGGGAAGUGCACCCGAAACUGAAUGGCUUGAGUACCAAAGAGGGUCGCGGAAUUCCCGGUGUAGAGGUGAAAUUCGUAGAUAUCGGGAGGAACACCGGUGGCGAAGGCGGCGACCUGGGUGGAUACUGACGCUGAGGCGCGAAAGCGUGGGGAGCAAACAGG
rnacentral:rRNA from 1 species